rnacentral:rRNA from 1 species
AAUAUUGCGCAAUGGGCGAAAGCCUGACGCAGCGACGCCGCGUGGGGGAUGAAGGUCUUCGGAUUGUAAACCCCUUUCGGGAGGGAAGAUGGAGCGAGCAAUCGUUCGGACGGUACCUCCAGAAGCAGCCACGGCCAACUUCGUGCCAGCAGCCGCGGUAAUACGAAGGUGGCAAGCGUUGUUCGGAUUCACUGGGCGUACAGGGUGUGUAGGCGGUUUGGUAAGCCUUCUGUUAAAGCUUCGGGCCCAACCCGGAAAGCG